GUGCCUGUAGCUUAUCCGGUAAAGUGUCCUGCUGUGAACGGGAAGAACAGGGUUCGAACCCCGCAGCGCACC
rnacentral:tRNA from 1 species